GGUAAGUGAAGCUGGUGGUGUACUGGGCAGAUGAAGUGAAUAAAACAGCUGCAUACUGAUGUAAAAGAAUGACUGAAUCAAUAGCAACUGAGCUACUACACAUUUAGUUGUAAGUUAGUUUUAAGUUUUUUUCUUUCCAGCCACCGGUGCACCAACACAGCAUGAAAGAAGAGAUGAUAAGCUUCAAGAGUGGCAUGGUACCAUACAAAUUCAAUGGGCUGCACCUCAAUUGUAUGGGGACACAAGCUCUAUGGAUUUCCAUCCCCAGGAAUAUCACUGCAAAAAACAGUAUCUCUGGACCUGGGGCAGUGUAUACUGAGACGCCAAGUGUUUAAGUUGUAUCUGUCCGUAUAAUGUGUAUAAAUAAAUAUUGUGUAUGUGAA